CACGUAGGAGGCGAGCGUUUGUCCGGAAUCAUUGGGCGUAAAGAGCGCGCAGGCGGCUUGGCAAGUCGGGUGUGAAAGUCCCGGGGCUCAACCCCGUGACUGCAUCCGAUACUGUCAGGCUAGAGGUAGGUAGGGGGAGAUCGGAAUUCCUGGUGUAGCGGUGAAAUGCGCAGAUAUCAGGAGGAACACCGGUGGCGAAGGCGGAUCUCUGGGCCUUACCUGACGCUCAGGCGCGAAAGCUAGGGGAGCGAACAGG
rnacentral:rRNA from 1 species